UACGUAGGGGGCAAGCGUUGUCCGGAAUUACUGGGCGUAAAGAGUGUGUAGGCGGUGCUCCAAGUCUGGUGUGAAAUCUCCCGGCUUAACUGGGAGGGUGCAUUAGAAACUGGAAUGCUAGAGGAUGGGAGAGGUAAGCGGAAUUCCUGGUGUAGCGGUGGAAUGCGUAGAGAUCCGGAAGAACACCGGUGGCGAAGGCGGCCUGCUGGGCAGUGGCUGACACUGAAGCGCGACAGCGUGGGGAGCAAACAGG
rnacentral:rRNA from 1 species